rnacentral:tRNA from 1 species
GGUGACCUUAAGUAGAGUGGUCGGCUGUUAACUGACUGGUCGUAGGUUCGAAUCCUACCUACUA